rnacentral:rRNA from 1 species
AGGGUUUGAUCCUGGCUCAGAACGAACGCUGGCGGCGUGCCUAACACAUGCAAGUCGAGCGAGAAAUCCCGCUUCGGUGGGAGAGUAAAGCGGCGCACGGGUGAGUAACGCGUGGGUAAUCUACCCCCGAGUUUGGGAUAACCCCGCGAAAGCGGGGCUAAUACCGGAUAAGACCACAGUUAUUUUAUGGCAGUGGUAAAAGAUGGUCUCUCCAUGGAAGCUAUUGCUUGGGGAUGAGCCCGCGUCCUAUCAGCUUGUUGGUAGGGUAAUGGCCUACCAAGGCGAAGACGGGUAGCUGGUCUGAGAGGACGAUCAGCCACACUGGGACUGAGACACGGCCCAGACUCCUACGGGAGGCAGCAGUGGGGAAUAUUGCGCAAUGGGGGAAACCCUGACGCAGCGACGCCGCGUGGGUGAUGAAGGCCUUCGGGUUGUAAAGCCCUGUUAGGUGGGAAGAAAUUCUCUAUGGUUAAUACCCAUAGGGAUUGACGGUACCAUCAGAGGAAGCACCGGCUAACUCCGUGCCAGCAGCCGCGGUAAUACGGAGGGUGCAAGCGUUGUUCGGAAUUACUGGGCGUAAAGGGGGUGUAGGCGGUCGGGAAAGUCGGAUGUGAAAACCCUCGGCUCAACCGAGGAAGUGCAUUCGAAACUGCUCGACUUGAGUAUGGGAGAGGAAGGCGGAAUUCUCGGUGUAGCGGUGACAUGCGUAGAUAUCGGGAGGAACACCGGUGGCGAAGGCGGCCUUCUGGCCCAAUACUGACGCUGAGACCCGAAAGCGUGGGGAGCAAACAGGAUUAGGUACCCUGGUAGUCCACGCCGUAAACGUUGGGUACUAGGUGUGGGAGGUUUUAUACCUUCCGUGCCGCAGCUAACGCAUUAAGUACCCCGCCUGGGGAGUACGGCCGCAAGGUUAAAACUCAAAGGAAUUGACGGGGGCCCGCACAAGCGGUGGAGCAUGUGGUUCAAUUCGACGCAACGCGAAGAACCUUACCUGGGCUUGACAUCUCGGGAAUCCCCUGGAAACGGGGGAGUGCCCUUCGGGGAACCCGAAGACAGGUGCUGCAUGGCUGUCGUCAGCUCGUGUCGUGAGGUGUUGGGUUAAGUCCCGCAACGAGCGCAACCCUCACCCUUAGUUGCUACCAGUUCGGCUGAGCACUCUAAGGGAACUGCCAGCGAUAAGCCGGAGGAAGGUGAGGAUGACGUCAAGUCCUCAUGGCCCUUAUGCCCAGGGCUACACACGUGCUACAAUGGUCGGUACAAAGGGUCGCGAACCCGCAAGGGGGAGCCAAUCCCAAAAACCCGGUCUCAGUUCGGAUUGGAGUCUGCAACUCGACUCCAUGAAGUUGGAAUCGCUAGUAAUCGCGGAUCAGCACGCCGCGGUGAAUACGUUCCCGGGCCUUGUACACACCGCCCGUCACACCAUGGAAGCUGGUUGUACCAGAAGCCGCUGGGCCAACCCUCACGGGGGGCAGGCGUCUAAGGUAUGGCUAGUGACUGGGGUGAAGUCGUAACAAGGUA